rnacentral:misc_RNA from 1 species
GGCAAAUAUCUUGUUCUAGUAUAAGGGAAGCCAAAGAAUCGGACAAAAUUUUGGCAAUCCUUUACUGCAGUACCUUCACCCCCUGAUGCACUUAUAUGACUCAAGUAUGUCUUGCCUUCAUAUAUGAAAGAGAGUUGCUGCCAUAAAAGCACGCUUAAACCUAUCUCGAUAGAGACACUAGCAAUAAACAGGUAAAUAAGAACAAGUCCUCUCGCGGGUAGAAACAACAUAGAACUCAUAAAUGCAACAAAAAUAUCUUUUAACAUUCUCAUAACCAACUUUUGACCAAAAGCCCCAGUCAGAAGGUGGAUUUGCCAGUUGUUUAAUGGUGGCCAGAUAUGAUAAACUGCAUAUACAGACAUGAUGGACGCGUAAAUCAUGCCAAUGAUUGCUGAAAUGAGGAAAAGGAUAAAAUGCCGAUGGUUUGCUGCACCAACACAGUUUCCAAUAAAUGGACAAUGAUGAUCCAUGUCCAAUACGCACAUCCCACAAGAACGGCAAUGAUGUGCCCUAGGUGACUUUGGCUUUGCACAAUAUUCACAAAAUCUAUAAUUUUCAAGUGCUCCUUUUGUCACAGCAGGAUAGCUACCCCAUAUUAUGUUUGGUGGAGCACCAGCAGAUCGAAAUGCAGAAAGGCUAAAUGUGGACAAGGUAAAUAUGGACAAUAUUAUAGCAAUCAAAAUGUUAACACCUCCAUAGAUGUAACCAAGAGAAAGUAAUACCGGAUAAAUGGCCCAAAUACCGCCACAUAUUACCAAUAGUAUGAAGACAAUGAGGAUGCUGACAAAGCACCGGUCUCGCAAUCGUCUCCACCUGAAGUUCUGGUUCUCACAUUUAAUUAUGUUCUGGUUACUUAUAGCUCCACACCAGAAACACUUGAAAGCAGGCACAUGUGGU